rnacentral:lncRNA from 1 species
AGUUUCACCCGGCAGACUAGAGAAGUCCUCUUUUCCCACCCUGCUUUUCCAUCAUGAUCCUCUCAAAAGAAAACAGAAGGGAAACUCUAAUAGCUUAAAGGUCGUUUGCCUACUUCAGUAUCUCCAGCCAGCGCGCGUCUGAGCCAGUGAGACAAGGCUGGACCUGUUCAAGAGCCAGUCUCCAGGACAGCGCUAGAUCCAUUCCAAAUGCGUUCAGCAGAAGUCAAGACUCCCCACGGUAGAACAGAUCACCCCUCCAUCCCACAGCAGCCUAUCUGCCUUGGCACAUCUCCAGCCUUUACCUCUCUGCCCGCUUCCCCACGGCUCUCCACCUUGAGCAUUCUGACGCCAGAGCGCACUAGGCUGCUCUAAGUUCCUGCUGGGUCCAUGGAUGAGACAAGAGAGCCUGGGAGUCGGGCGGAGGGAAGAUGAAGAGAGGCAAACGUGGGAGCGGAUCCUGAGGGACUAAUGUGUGUGUGUGGGGGGGGGGGGGACACUGAUUGGAGCCACCCCUCCCUGGAGGGAUAGUCCCUAGAGGCCAACUCUCACCUGGUCGGCUGGCUGCGACUGGGUUGCCCUGGCCCCUGGGGUGGGUUGCUGCUCCUGCUUCAUGGCUGUCAUCCCCUUGCCGCCCGCGUCGGAGCUCACACUUCCUCGCGGGCACUUCACACUCGGGGACCGUCACUUGGCAAGCGAUCGCAUGUCACAGACGCCCCGUCGCUCUCGGAAUUGGCGGAAGAGAAAAGCAGCGGCGGCAGCGGUGGGGUUUGGGGGGGGGGGGGGAAGGGGAGCGCCAGGGAGGGGACGGAGAGCGGCAGCAGAAGCAAGUAGUCUCCCUCUUUUGCAGGAUCCCUCUUUUCCACUACCGCAGAUCCUCGGACUCCCCACUGUCCCCGCCCCCCCACCACCACCCGAAAAUGCAGACACCAGAUGCGACCAAGUGGCAAGUUAGUGGAGCGGCGGGCGGCUGGCUGCCAGCACCUGAUCGCGCCGGAGCGGUGGCUUGCAACGCCGGAGGAGCCAGGCUUUCAUUCUACCGCAGUCCGCCACCCGCGCACCCGCACCGCCGCCGGCCCUCGGGGCUCCCCGCACGGUGCUCAGCGCGCCAGGUGCAGCAGCAGCAGUAGCAGUAGUAGCAGCAGCAGCAGCAGCCAGGCUUUGCGCUCCAGCAUCUCCCGAGCAACCUUAAAGCGCGCGGGAGACAGCCCCGUACGCGCUCCCCACUGGUGUAGCCCAGGCCGCCAGGCUCUACGGGCUCCCCCCAGCCCCCCGCCCACCCCCCGCGGGCUCUGGAUAAAACCCGGAGAAACGGAGUGUGAGCUAGUGCAAAAACCCUUGGUGGCUCCAGAGCGGCCACUAGGCAUGCUCCAGCACUUCGAGAAAGCAGGGGUAGCAGGGGAGGGGGUGCGAGGGGGAUCCCCGCCUGGGGCCCCACUGGGCGUGUGCGACACCUGUCUGCACCGGAGACAUUUGUCCCAUACAGUGACCCAAGGGUGUGCAUCAUCUACUGACUUAAGGCAAUAGAAAGGCUUUAACUUCCACCUUGGAUUCCUGAGAUGGCUGAACGCACUGGAAUCCCUAAAGGUUUGU